ensembl:miRNA Mir6927 microRNA 6927
GUGAGGGGAUCCAGCCCAGGCUAGGGGGAAGAAUCCCUGCCCGUGGCCUGAGCUGGCUCCCCUGCAGCUCC